GACGAACGCUGGCGGCGUGCUUAACACAUGCAAGUCGAACGAAGUGGCGAACGGGUUAGUAACGCGUAAUCAACCUGCCCUUCAGAGGGGGCCAACAGUUGGCAACGACUGCUAAUACCGCAUACUGAAGUAGGGGAUUUCGUCUGAUUAGCUAGUUGGGGGGGUAACGGCCCACCAAGGCGAUGAUCAGUAGCCUGUCUGAGAGGAAUGACGGCGACAUUGGGAAUGGGACACGGCCCAGAAUCCUACGGGAGGCAGCAGUGGGGAAUCUUCCGAAAUGGAGGAAAGUCUUAAGGAGCAACGCCGCGUGAGUGAUGACGGCCUUCGGGUUGUAAAGCUAUGUUAAUCGGGACGCGGUACCGGAAGAGAAAGCAACGGCUAACUACGUGCCAGCAGCCGCGGUAAUUC
rnacentral:rRNA from 1 species